CCUUAUCCCUUCCCCCUCCGGUUCUCCAUCCACACAGAAACUCUCUCUCUCUCUCUCUCUCUCUCUCUCUCUCUCUCUCUCUCUCUCUCUCUCUCUCUCUCUCUCUCUCUCUCUCUCUCGUUCUGGCACAUUGUGACGGGCGCGGCGGUGAGCCAAGCUGCGCUACAUGCCGGGCCCUGCCACCAUCGCCGCCGCUGCCAGCAGUGUGGUCCGGCCGGGCACCUCUGCAGCUGCGGCCCUUGGCACCGAGGCGGAGGCGGAGAGGGAGAGGGAGAGGAAGAAUAAUAAGAUGGCGGGGAUGGGGGUGGUGCUGUUCAGCUUCGGCGACUCCAACAGUGAUAAGGGCAGCGUAGCGGCGGCAGUAAUGGGGAUCUGCAUCCCGCCGCCGGAGGGGCGAGCCUACUUCUAGCACCCCACAAGGCAGCUCUCCAACUGCCGCGUCAUCCUCAUAUCUAGAGGGCUCAUACAAAUCCAGUUAUGCAAGCGAUCCAUAUUUGGAGCUAGAGGAUAGGGAGUGAAGAUAUAUCAGGGUUAUUGCAUUUGUAAACAGUACAUCAACAUGUUGAUUCAGGAUUCUGCAGUGCGCACAUUUUUUUAUUGCUUCAAGUCUGUUCAGGAUUUAGAACUUUUGGUGUACUUGUAUAGUGCACUGGAGGUGCAGACAAGCAUGCCAGGGUGCUGCUGGAGCCAAUCAGGGACGCAGUGGUGGAUGUGGAGGUAGUUUGUUCUGCUUGUCGCUGCCAUAUUCAUGCUGCUGCCGUUUGUGUUCAAGCAGCAAUGCCCGGAAGUUCACCCAACUCAGUUGCCACAUACAUUUUGGUUAUUUUCUGCACUUUACUUGAGGUUGAGCAACAUCCUUCCUGGCAUAUUCUUUGUGAUGGCUGUAAUUUUCAGUUCCUGACAAAAGGGGAGGAGGUGGGGGGAGACCAGCAACGUGGAGGUCAAGGAUUUUUCACACAGGAUCAAGCAGAUCAUUCUUCAAUGUGUAGAUCACAAGAUGGCAACUGCAGUUUAUCUCUUUGUAGAUACAACAAUAAUGUGUUCUAGAUCUAUUUCUCCUGGCCAGGGAGCCCUAAGUUUCUAGCAGUUUUUGAAAAAAAUCUGGUCUGUAUAGAUACACACGCACCUCGUUUGUUUGGUCUUCGGCUAUCAUCCCAUCUCUGCAGUCUUUUUCUGCACACUUUAUUGCUUGACA